rnacentral:rRNA from 1 species
UACGUAGGGUGCGAGCGUUGUCCGGAAUUAUUGGGCGUAAAGAGCUUGUAGGCGGUUUGUCGCGUCUGCUGUGAAAUCCGGGGACUCAACCCCGGACUUGCAGUGGGUACGGGCAGACUAGAGUGUGGUAGGGGAGACUGGAAUUCCUGGUGUAGCGGUGAAAUGCGCAGAUAUCAGGAAGAACACCCGUGGCGAAGGCGGCUCUCUGGGACGGUACUGACGGCUGAGACGCGAAAGCGUGGGGAGCGAACAGG